CGCAUAUACAUACUGAUAAACAACCAUCAUGGAGAAAUCCGAGCCGUUUCUCUGCAAGCCAAACCAAAUUUGACAUAUAUAGUAAGGUCAUGUGCUCUAUACACCUAGUACCUCACAUUCAUUUGAUAUCUCCUCUAGAGAUACAUCGAUCAUAGUCAUAUUUUCAGCUUUCAAUGAUGAUUUAGUCAUUACCAUUCUUGAAAUAUAUUGGUCGAGUUUAGUCCAUAGAUCUUCGAUCCUGUC